rnacentral:misc_RNA from 1 species
GCAAACUUGGUCAUUUAGAGGAAGUAAAAGUCGUAACAAGGUUUCCGUAGGUAAGUUAUAAAAAAAAAAUCAGUGUCUUUUAUGCUUGGAAUAAUGGUGCUAACUUUUCUUUUUUAGGUGAACCUGCGGAAGGAUCAUUACCGAGAGUAACUCUUUUAUAGAGUAACCUCCCGUCCUUUGCGGGCCCCUUAGGGGCAUUUUGACUUUGCUUCGGCGGAGGUACCCCGCCGGAACACCCUCAAAAAAAUCUCGAAAAAAACUGUUCAGUCCGAGAACUUUUUGUGUGAAUAAUCAAAACUUUCAACAACGGAUCUCUUGGUUCUGGCAUCGAUGAAGAACGCAGC